GCACAGAUGCCUGAAAAAGGUUGGCAGGAUUGGUGCACUCAACUUGGAUCUGACCCUCUGGUCCUAACAAAUGUCCCUUAAUUCCUAGCAUCAUCAAUGGCUUUGCCCUGCCCCUUAAAGAAGAGCACAAGAUGUUCCUCAUCCGUGUCCUGCUUCCCCUUCACAAGGUCAAGUCCCUGAGUGUCUACCACCCUCAGCUGGCAUACUGUGUGGUACAAUUCCUGGAGAAGGAGAGCAGUCUGACUGAGCCGGUAAUUGUGGGACUUCUCAAGUUUUGGCCCAAGACCCACAGCCCCAAGGAGGUGAUGUUCUUGAAUGAGCUGGAGGAGAUUCUGGACGUCAUUGAACCUUCCGAGUUCAGCAAAGUGAUGGAACCCCUCUUCCGCCAGUUGGCCAAGUGCGUCUCUAGCCCCCAUUUCCAGGUGGCAGAGCGUGCUCUCUAUUACUGGAACAAUGAGUACAUCAUGAGCCUGAUAAGUGACAAUGCUGCCCGAGUCCUCCCCAUCAUGUUCCCUGCACUCUACAGGAACUCCAAGAGCCACUGGAACAAGACAAUCCAUGGGCUGAUCUACAAUGCCCUGAA
rnacentral:sRNA from 1 species